rnacentral:lncRNA from 1 species
GAGAGAAGAAGGUGUCAGUGUUGAACCCGGCGCGUAUCCCCGUGUGGUACGUAAUGCUGCUCCCAGACAGACAGCCCUACAUCCUCAAUGGAGAUGACGCUAGUGCUUGAAGGCGAUGUUUUUCCCGCGGACUGCGUGGCUGGUGAGAUGGUAACGCCGAGGCGGGGAGCAGCUUCACAGCUCACUGCCCUCACCCGAGCAACCGCCUGAGAGCGACGUGCCAAAGCCCGGCGGUAGCCCGGUGCCUGCUGCAUCGCUGCAAACGGUGGGAGCAGCGCGCCCACCCGCUGCGGGGGCUCCUCGGGGACCCACCGCCUGCCAGCUUCCCUCUGCCAUCCUCUGCGGCGGCCUGUCCCCACGUACACGUGUCUGGGAAAGGGAAUUGUGUACCAUGUAACCAGACUGCUAUAAACCUUCAGCUGCAGACCACUGACAGGAGUCUAUGGACCACCACUUGGGUGAACCUCUGCUUUAAACCGUUAAAUGAUUCAACAUUUGUGUUAUCCUGAAGGGGAGGAUAAAGAAACUGGCCACCAAGAUGGUAAUCACUAGUGGAAAUGAAGAAGAUAAAGGCAGUCAAGAAAAGGAAAGCAAAGAAGAAACCAUCUUGGCAAUGCUUGGAAUUAUUGGGACAAUUCUGAACCUCAUUGUGAUCAUUUUUGUGUAUAUUUACACAACGCUGUAAACUAGAAGGCAUGCAAAUAGACCAGAUAAAACGGCCAUUAAGACUGACAACAAACAUUGCUGACUAUUGACAAGUUGUUUAAUCAGAAUUGACUCUGUAUUAUAUUAACACAUCGUAUAAGCGCUGCCUGCAGGCAGCGAAGGCUGAAGCACAAUUAAUUUAACAAGACUUUUCCACACAGUAACAAGCUCAACUCUUCUGUCUUGCCCUCUUCCUUUUGGUUUGGUUUUCAGUUUGGAGGAAAAUGACUGCAAUUAUGUAAGUUGUAGCUUUGAGGAAAUCCACCAGGGAUAUGUUGUUUUAACACGAUAAAAAAAAAAAACAAUAAAGAGAGAAACUAUACACUAUAUACAAUUAGAAAUGUAUACCGUAUACCCACAGAGAUUGAACUCAAAGGUAGCUUCAUAGCACAGAUCACGUGUCUGUUAUGUCAAAUGACUUUUUUCUCUUGGUUUUUGCUUUUACUUACAUUGACUCUGAAAGCUUUUUAUUUAGAAUGAACAUAUGGUGCAAUCAUGAAAAAACCAAUUCCAUUGAGCAAGGUCUGCCUAAACCUGAUAAAAUGUUGGGAGAAAUACAUUGUAUGGUUAUUUUUCCUUUCUUAUUUGCCUAACAUCUGUGUCUGUUCAUAUCAAUGUUUAUAAAUAUCUAUUUUUAAUAAAUGUGCUAUAUUUUUAGCAUGAACCAAA